AGCUCAUCUUGUGCCAUUACAGAGAGAACAUAUCUGGUUUUCUUGACUGCAUUAAUCACGUCCGAUAAUGAAUCUUACCCUGCACCGACCUAUCUAGAUAACUGUAUUACCCUGCAAUGCAUGGCACAGGCACCAUGUAAGUUGUUACACUAGUCUAAUACAUUGAAAUGUUGCAGUAAACAACAGUUAUGUAAAGACACUGUUCCUUUAAAACACAGAUUGACAUUGUUGACUUUACUUCUUGAAAGGAGUAGACAUUUUCUGCCCUUUGUAAUGUGCCAAAGUGAUACUGGAUAAUUCCUUUUUAUUCGUUUUUUUUGGUCGUCAACAAGGCUUUAUUGAAGCAAACAAACAUAGUUAUAAAAGUACAAUAGGCCAAUUGGUAUGUGUGUGAGACUCCGGUAUCAAUGCAUAUAAACAAAUAUGCAGUUGAGUAAUAGGUAGUUGGUUUUCAGUAUUGCAUAAAAAUAAAGGGGAUAGAUAUAUACCAAUGCGUAGGUAUCGAGGACUACAAGUUAUCACAAAUAUAAUGCAGUAGCAGACAUACCCUUCAGUAAUAAGCUCUGUCCACGUCAUUAUUAUCUUACUUGUUUCGGUUUUUGUUCGAGCGGGUUUGGUUAUAUUGGGGGCAUCUGAAUUAUAAUUGUUGUGUCUGUUGUGUCAUGCAUGUGCUUUUGGUAAGACCAAGUGCCGAGAACUUGUGGAAUCGGGCAAAUUUGAGGUAGGAGAACUAGGUUGAGGCCAGGAUCGGUGUGGUUGCAUAUGUAUGCGUCUCCGUAUCUCUCAUAUGUCCCUUAUUGCUGUAGGGAAUGAUUUUCUGAGUUGGUCUAUGACUUUGUCAGUACAGGGUGGUUUGUCCUCAUGAUUCCCGCUACGCUUUCCAG